rnacentral:tRNA from 14 species
ACUCUUGUGGUGUAAUAGUAACACAUCCAUCCUUUGGGUGGAAGAUCCAGGUGCAAAUCCUGGCAAGACUU